rnacentral:rRNA from 1 species
UGGGGAAUCUUGGACAAUGGGGGCAACCCUGAUCCAGCCAUGCCGCGUGAGUGAUGAAGGCCUUAGGGUCGUAAAGCUCUUUCGCCUGUGAAGAUAAUGACGGUAGCAGGUAAAGAAACCCCGGCUAACUCCGUGCCAGCAGCCGCGGUAAUACGGAGGGGGUUAGCGUUGUUCGGAAUUACUGGGCGUAAAGCGCACGUAGGCGGACCAGAAAGUUGGGGGUGAAAUCCCGGGGGCUCAACCCCGGAACUGCCUCCAAAACUAUUGGUCUAGAGUUCGAGAGAGGUGAGUGGAAUUCCAAGUGUAGAGGUGAAAAUUCGUAGAUAUUUGGAGGAACACCAGUGGCGAAGGCGGCUCACUGGCUCGAUACUGACGCUGAGGUGCGAAAAGUGUGGGGAGCAAAACAGGAUUAGAUACCCUGGUAGUCCACACCGUAAAACGAUGAAAUGCCAGUCGUCGGGUAGCAUGCUAUUCGGUGACACACCU